rnacentral:lncRNA from 1 species
AGCCAGGGCUUUCUGCAGCUGCCCCACGCGGCUCUGGGCCCGGGCACACCUGCACUCUGCCUCGCUCAGCCGGCUGCUCAGGGUCGCCAUCUGGAUGCGGGAGUCAUCCUGGGCAGAAGGACUGAGGACGGCCUGGACACUGACCCUCAGACCCAGGGACGCGCGGAUGGCCUAGCCUGGUACCUCUGCCACCUGCUGUGAGGGCUGUGCCAUCCUGCCCAGCUGCCCCACAGGGGCCUUUCUAGAGCCCCAGCCAGGCCGUUGGCCUCCCUCUGCUCCCCAGCUCUGCACCACCUCCUGGAGGCCACCUGUGACCUAUCUUGCCUGCUGGAUGGGAACUCCCUGUGGGCAGGGACAGAUGGUGGCCCGCAGCUCGCUGUUGAAAAGCAACAGUACGUCCUUCUCGCGGGCCUCGUCACUCAGCGCCCGGCGGGCCUCCUGGGCCUCCCUGUGCAGCCCCUCCCGGCUCUCCUCGACGCCCUGCAGCUCCUGGCGCAGUGCGGCCAGUCCCUCCUGGGCCACGGUCAGCUGUGCCCGCAGCCUCUCAGCCUGGGGAGGACCAUUCAGCUCUAGAGGCCCGCUGGGGACCACUGCUCCAGGGAUAGCCACAGGGGCCUGUGGCCUCUGACAUGGUGUGGCAGGCACAGGUGCCCUGCCCAACUUGGUCCCCAUGCGCUUUGCUCACCCCAUGGAGCCACCAAUCCCUAGUGCUGCGGAGGCUGCAGGGCGGCUUCCACGGGCUGAGGCAGGGCCAGCCUAAGAGCCCAGAAGACCCCACCUUGAGCCCCUGGGCCCGGCCCCACGCUGCGGCCUCUCUGGACCCCCAGGACGCUGACCACUCCUGACUCAGCCAGGCCCACUUUCACCCUGAAGUCAAACUCACCCCUUCAGGAGGCUUAGAAAUGAUGCCUUCUUUCCCCUGAAAACUGGUGUCAGCUUCCCUUAGCCAAUGGCCUGGGCCAGGCACCAUUUCAUCUGCCCUGAGAGCCUGGGCUUGGCUUAGUGCGUGGUGUGAGGGCCCCUUGUCCCAUGCCCCUAUGGCUGUUUGCCUCUUCCUAGUCCCAGGGACUACUCUUCCCUUCUCUGUGGUACAGCCUCUCUUUCCUCCUGGCACCCCCACUCUCUCCUCUCUUGGUACCUGCCCUGCUUUCUCCUGUCCUCUGGCAUCCCCAGGAGCCCCCCAGCCCUGCCUCUCACCUCUCUCUCCACAUCGCCCCGCUCAGCCGCUAGGUCCUGGAGGCUCUCGCGUAGGGCCGUGGUCUCCCUCUGAUGGGCUGUGAUGGCAUCCUCAAACUGGGCCUGGAGGGCCUUCAGCUCCUCAGUCGUGGCACUGAUGGUGGCCUGCGGGGAGAAGGGAGCCCACGGUGGCACCAGGGAGCUGGGCCCAGCAGUGGAGGGUGAGGCUGCUGGGAUGAGGAGACAUCCACGGCCCCUGACAGCUGUGAUGGCGCCCUCUCCCGCUGCGCAGUGCCCUGGGGAUGGGGCACAAGCCCUCCAUCCCGGCUCCGAGUCACCGAGCGUCCCCCAAGGCCCCGCUGCCUGGACGCCCCGGCCCCCCAGCAGGCGGCCUGCGCGUGCCUCUGUGCAGUCAGUGAGAAGGGCUCCCGUUCAGAAUGGGCAGAGAAGGGGGCUGCCUCCCGCGCCUGGCACCAUGGCCUGUGUUCUGUUCACUGCACACUGAACCAUACAUUCAACGCCAGUCAGGACUCAAUGUGGGUGUCCUUUCCUGCCGAGAGUUUCCUCUGGUGCAGGGCCAGCCGCCUCGGGUUGUUUCUCCUUUGGAAGGAUCUCUCUGGGACAGGGCCUGAACAGGACGGGGCAACACUUGAUGCAGUGCAGAGAAGAAAGCUUAAAAGCCCGAAAAUGCUCCAUCUCCCUGAUGGUGUGGGAGAUGCGUGUGAGCGAGACACCCUCAGCUCCAAGGGUGGCACGCUGCUCCGUGGACCAGGCUGUGGAAGCAAUGCCUGUCAAAUCCACACAUGUAUAUUCUCUCUAUGCCCAGGCCCAUCUGGGGGAGGGCAGCCCAGAGACACGUGUGCACCUGUGUGGGCUGACCUAUGCGCAGUGUCACCAAUGUCUGUGACAUUGCUGUAAUGGCAACAAAGCUGGAGGCAACCCAGAUGCCCGUGGAAGGAAGAACAGCCACAGGAAGACCCAGUUCUGGCAGCUCAGCAUGCAGCCCAGAAACAGAAGAACAAAGCUGCAGAUACACAGCUGGGAAAGGCCACCGAGAUGCUUUGAUAAGUGAGAAGAGGAAAGCCCAGGAGCCGGCAUAGACUUUUCAUUCCUUUUGUAUUAAAAAUGCAGUGUUGGGGAGGUAACGCUGUAUAUUUCUGUUUGCAAGCAAUCUUUGGAGGGUGUUGCAUAACAGAAGAUGUAUCAGGUCUUUGUCCUGGAUCCUCGGAGGAAGCUUCUAAACCCUGGGGGUUUCUCAGAAGUGUGGAGCGUCUGCAUUAGUCCUGGCGGGCCCCUGGGACCACACCUGAGUUUAUGCUAAUGAGGUGACUCAGGGUGGGUUCCUACUGAAUUUCAGGAUGGGGACUGUCUGCUGAAAGACCCGUUAUUAGAGGGUUGGGGCUUUGAGCCACGGGAUGUCAGCCCAACCUCCCAGCAGUCAGAGAAGUGGGCUUCAAUCACCUAACCAAUCACUCCACCGAUCACGUUACACAGUGAAACCCCAAUAAAACUCUGGACACCAAA